GGCUUUUCUUUAGUGUAAAAAGCUUUUGGAAUAAGACCUGGGCAAGACCGGUCCCGGCGGCCGCGGUAACACCGGCAGCUCUAUUGGUAGCAGUUUUUAUUGGGCUUAAGGCGUCCGUAGCCGGUUUAAUAAGUUUUUGGUGAAUUCUUGUAGUUUAACUGUGGGAAUUGCUGGUGAUACUGUUAUACUUGAGGCCGGGAGAGGUUAGAGGUACUCCCAGGGUAGAGGUGAAUUUCUGUAUUCUUGGGAGGACCGCUUGUUGCGAAGGCGUUUAACUGGAACGGUUCUGACGGUGAGGGACGAAAGUUAGGGGCGCGAACCGGAUUAGAUACCCGGGUAGUCCUAGCUGUAAACGAUGCGGACUUGGUGUUGGGGUGGCUUUGAGUUGCUCCUGUGCCGAAGRGAAGUUGUUAARUSCRCCRCCUGGGAAGUACGGUCGCAAGGCUAAACUAAAGGA
rnacentral:rRNA from 1 species